UAUAGACUACUCUUUAUAUAGAACUUUAAAAAUUCAUCUUCAACAGCCAGGGUUUCUCCUAGGUUUGUUGCGUAUUGUCAAUUCUUAAUCCCGAUGGAUCUCUUUACAGGUUGGCAUUGUGGGAAGAACAGGAGCUGGAAAAAGUUCCCUCAUCGCUGCCCUUUUUAGACUGUUAGAACCUGAAGGUGAAAUUUCCAUCGAUGGGAUCCUGACAUCCAUAAUUGGAUUUCACCAUUUAAGGAAGGAAAUGUCAGUUGUACCUCGGAGAGAAGAGGCGGAUGUGCUCUUACUAGUAAAGAAAUACAACUGGAUUCUAGCCUAAUGCAGUCGGCCCUUUGUCUCUGACACUGAAGUCUUCAUUAAAUCCCUUGGAACUGCUCCCUGGAGUCCCUGAAAGAGAACUUCAUGGGAGUUGAUGAUUCCCUCAUUCUUGAAACAGGACACAAGUAUGUCUCAUCAUACUGAAAACCAAGAUGCAGAAAUCUGGGUAUCAGCAGCCUGUGCAUCAGGAACCACGUGAUUCAGUCCUGGCUUUGGCGACAGGUCCCAUUUCCAUUUCUCUGGGCCUUGUAUUUAGGCAGAUUCUUAACCACUGCACCACGAGGGCAGCCCCCGAACAGACAUGUCACAAGAAGAGAUGAACUUGUGGCUUCAUUCAUACAGCCAACAAAUAUCUACUGAGAGCUUUCUAGACAGGCAUUGUUUCAGAUUCUGGGGUUAUCACAAUCAUUAAGAGACAAAGUCUCUACCCUUUUGGAACUUAAAUUCUCCUGGAGAAGAUGGAAAACACGCCAAUGCAUAUGUAACAAAGUCUCAGUGCUGGUACUUGCAAAGGAGAAAAAUAAAGCAGCAUAUGAAGAGGGGCUAGCUGACAGUAUUAUUAAUAAUAGGCAAUAUCUGUUGAUCUCUUUGUGUCAAUCACUGUUGUAAAUUCUACACAUAAUGACUCAUUUUAUACUCUGACAAUGUUAGGAGGUAAACACCUUUAUUAUACUAUAUUAUAGUCUUAUUUAGAGUUUAGGAAGCUAAGAUAAACUUCAGGAAGUUGCCCAAUUGGCAGAGCCAGGAAAGACUUAUGCCCAGGCCGUCUGGCUUCAAGGCUCCAAUUUUUUUGUUUUAAAAUUUUCAGAUCAUAAGAACAUGGAAGGAGUAGUAUGAUGAACACAUAUGUACCUUCACCUUGAUUCACCAGCUGUUAAUAUUUUUCCAUAUUUGCUUCCUCUCUUCCAUAUAUUUUGCUGAACUGCUUGUAAGUUGUAGAAAUGUUUAUUAAAAGUUGCAAUUCACCUUUAAAUACAUAAAUAUACACCUUGUAAGAACAAGGACAUUCUCUCACAUAACAAAACACAGUUUUCUAAAUCAAGAAGUUUAAUAGUAAUAUCACACUAUUAUCUGUUUUCAGGUUCUCCAGUUGUAACUCCUAGUUAUUAUUGUCUACUGCCUCUAUUGUGUUUUUUCCAUUCUAAUACUAAAUUAUACUGGUUUGGCCAAAAA